GUGUUAGUAGCUCAGUGGUAGAGUACAUGCUUUAUAUGCAUGAUGUCCUGGGUUCAAUCCCCAGCUCCUCCC